ACGAACGCUGGCGGCGUGCCUCAUACAUGCAAGUAGAACGCACAGUUUAUACCGUAGCUUGCUACACCAUAGACUGUGAGUUGCGAACGGGUGAGUAACGCGUAGGUAACCUGCCUGGUAGCGGGGGAUAACUAUUGGAAACGAUAGCUAAUACCGCAUAAUAUUGAUUAUUGCAUGAUAAUUGAUUGAAAGAUGCUAUUGCAUCACUACCAGAUGGACCUGCGUUGUAUUAGCUAGUAGGUGAGGUAACGGCUCACCUAGGCGACGAUACAUAGCCGACCUGAGAGGGUGAUCGGCCACACUGGGACUGAGACACGGCCCAGACUCCUACGGGAGGCAGCAGUAGGGAAUCUUCGGCAAUGGACGAAAGUCUGACCGAGCAACGCCGCGUGAGUGAAGAAGGUUUUCGGAUCGUAAAGCUCUGUUGUAAGAGAAGAACGGGUGUGAGAGUGGAAAGUUCACACUGUGACGGUAUCUUACCAGAAAGAGACGGCUAACUACGUG
rnacentral:rRNA from 1 species